rnacentral:rRNA from 1 species
CCUACGGGCGGCAGCAGUGAGGAAUAUUGGUCAAUGGACGAGAGUCUGAACCAGCCAAGUAGCGUGAAGGAUGACUGCCCUAUGGGUUGUAAACUUCUUUUAUAUGGGAAUAAAAUGUUCCACGUGUGGGAUUUUGUAUGUACCAUAUGAAUAAGGAUCGGCUAAAUCCGUGCCAGCAGCCGCGGUAAUACGGAGGAUCCGAGCGUUAUCCGGAUUUAUUGGGUUUAAAGGGAGCGUAGGUGGAUUGUUAAGUCAGUUGUGAAAGUUUGCGGCUCAACCGUAAAAUUGCAGUUGACACUGGCAGUCUUGAGUACAGUAGAGGUGGGCGGAAUUCGUGGUGUAGCGGUGAAAUGCUUAGAUAUCACGAAGAACUCCGAUUGCGAAGGCAGUUCACUGGACUGCAACUGACACUGAGGCUCGAAAGUGUGGGUAUCAAACAGGAUUAGAUACCCCAGUAGUC